rnacentral:rRNA from 1 species
ACGGAAGGCAGCAGUGGGGAAUAUUGCACAAUGGGGGAAACCCUGAUGCAGCGACGCCGCGUGAAGGAUGACGUAUUUCGGUAUGUAAACUUCUAUCAGCAAGGAAGAUGAUGACGGUACUUGACUAAGAAGCCCCGGCUAACUACGUGCCAGCAGCCGCGGUAAUACGUAGGGAGCGAGCGUUAUCCGGAAUUACUGGGUGUAAAGGGAGUGUAGGCGGGACUGUAAGUCAGAUGUGAAAUAUACCGGCUCAACUGGUAGACUGCAUUUGAAACUGCGGUUCUUGAGUGAAGUAGAGGUAAGCGGAAUUCCUAGUGUAGCGGUGAAAUGCGUAGAUAUUAGGAGGAACAUCAGUGGCGAAGGCGGCUUACUGGGCUUUAACUGACGCUGAGGCUCGAAAGCGUGGGGAGCAAACAGGAUUAGAUACCCUGGUA